rnacentral:rRNA from 1 species
UCGAGUGGCGAACGGGUGAGUAACACGUGAGUAACCUGCCCUUGACUUUGGGAUAACUUCAGGAAACUGGGGCUAAUACCGGAUAGGAGCUCCUGCUGCAUGGUGGGGGUUGGAAAGUUUCGGCGGUUGGGGAUGGACUCGCGGCUUAUCAGCUUGUUGGUGGGGUAGUGGCUUACCAAGGCUUUGACGGGUAGCCGGCCUGAGAGGGUGACCGGCCACAUUGGGACUGAGAUACGGCCCAGACUCCUACGGGAGGCAGCAGUGGGGAAUAUUGCACAAUGGGCGGAAGCAUGAUGCAGCAACGCCGCGUGCGGGAUGACGGCCUUCGGGUUGUAAACCGCUUUCGCCUGUGACGAAGCGUGAGUGACGGUAUGGGUAAAGAAGCACCGGCUAACUACGUGCCAGCAGCUGCGGUGAUACGUAGGGUGCGAGCGUUGUCCGGAUUUAUUGGGCGUAAAGGGCUCGUAGGUGGUUGAUCGCGUCGGAAGUGUAAUCUUGGGGCUUAGCCCUGAGCGUGCUUUCGAUACGGGUUGACUUGAGGAAGGUAGGGGAGAAUGGAAUUCCUGGUGGAGCGGUGGAAUGCGCAGAUNUCAGGAGGAACACCAGUGGCAAGGCGGUUCUCUGGGCCUUUCCUGACGCUUAGAGCGAAAGCGUG